GAGCUUAAUUUUCGGUCCUUGUAUACUAAAAUUGGAAUGAUACAGAGAGGAUUAGCAAGGCCUCCAUGCAAGGAUGACACACAAAUUCAUGAAGUGUUCCAUACCUUU
rnacentral:snRNA from 1 species